GUAACACUAACUGGAGGACCGAACCGACUAAUGUUGAAAAAUUAGCGGAUGACCUGUGGCUGGGGGUGAAAGGCCAAUCAAACCGGGAGAUAGCUGGUUCUCCCCGAAAGCUAUUUAGGUAGCGCCUCGUGAAUUCAUCUCCGGGGGUAGAGCACUGUUUCGGCUAGGGGGCCAUCCCGGCUUACCAACCCGAUGCAAACUGCGAAUACCGGAGAAUGUUAUCACGGGAGACACACGGCGGGUGCUAACGUCCGUCGUGAAGAGGGAAACAACCCAGACCGCCAGCUAAGGUCCCAAAGUCAUGGUUAAGUGGGAAACGAUGUGGGAAGGCCCAGACAGCCAGGAUGUUGGCUUAGAAGCAGCCAUCAUUUAAAGAAAGCGUAAUAGCUCACUGGUCGAGUCGGCCUGCGCGGAAGAUGUAACGGGGCUAAACCAUGCACCGAAGCUGCGGCAGCGAACGUAUCACUUAAAGCGAUUCAGCGGGUUACGAUUGACGGAGCGAAGCGACGUCAAAGCGUAUACAAAGUCGAGUCGGUUUAAGGAUACGUUCGUUGGGUAGGGGAGCGUUCUGUAAGCCUGCGAAGGUGGCCUGUGAGGGUUGCUGGAGGUAUCAGAAGUGCGAAUGCUGACAUAAGUAACGAUAAAGCGGGUGAAAAGCCCGCUCGCCGGAAGACCAAGGGUUCCUGUCCAACGUUAAUCGGGGCAGGGUGAGUCGACCCCUAAGGCGAGGCCGAAAGGCGUAGUCGAUGGGAAACGGGUUAAUAUUCCCGUACUUGGUGUUACUGCGAAGGGGGGACGGAGAAGGCUAUGUUGGCCGGGCGACGGUUGUCCCGGUUUAAGCGUGUAGGUGUGUGUUCCAGGUAAAUCCGGUUCACUUUAACACUGAGGCGUGAUGACGAGGCACUACGGUGCUGAAGCAACAAAUGCCCUGCUUCCAGGAAAAGCCUCUAAGCAUCAGGUAACAUCAAAUCGUACCCCAAACCGACACAGGUGGUCAGGUAGAGAAUACCAAGGCGCUUGAGAGAACUCGGGUGAAGGAACUAGGCAAAAUGGUGCCGUAACUUCGGGAGAAGGCACGCUGACACGUAGGUGAAGUGAUUUACUCAUGGAGCUGAAGUCAGUCGAAGAUACCAGCUGGCUGCAACUGUUUAUUAAAAACACAGCACUGUGCAAACACGAAAGUGGACGUAUACGGUGUGACGCCUGCCCGGUGCCGGAAGGUUAAUUGAUGGGGUCAGCGCAAGCGAAGCUCCUGAUCGAAGCCCCGGUAAACGGCGGCCGUAACUAUAACGGUCCUAAGGUAGCGAAAUUCCUUGUCGGGUAAGUUCCGACCUGCACGAAUGGCGUAAUGAUGGCCAGGCUGUCUCCACCCGAGACUCAGUGAAAUUGAACUCGCUGUGAAGAUGCAGUGUACCCGCGGCAAGACGGAAAGACCCCGUGAACCUUUACUAUAGCUUGACACUGAACAUUGAGCCUUGAUGUGUAGGAUAGGUGGGAGGCUUUGAAGUGUGGACGCCAGUCUGCAUGGAGCCGACCUUGAAAUACCACCCUUUAAUGUUU
rnacentral:rRNA from 1 species